GGGGGGGGGGGGGGGGGGGGGUAAUGGGGGGGGGUCGGGCGGACGGGUGAGGGGGUGGGUGCGCUGACGGGAGCGGCGGACGGGGGAGUAACCCGUGGGGCACCUACCGAGAAGGAUUGGAUAACUUCGGGAAAACGGAGAUAAUAGCGGAGGAUAUAUUGAAACGCAUGAUUCGCUAGUGAAAGACGGGUUUGCUGUCACGUAUACAUGGAUCCGCGCCGCAUUAGCUAGUUGGUAAGUGAACGGCUUACGCAGGCAACGAUGCGCAGCCGAACUGAGAGGGUGAUCGGGCACACUGGAACUGAGACACGGUCCAGACUCCUACGGGAGGCAGAAGUCGGGAAUCUUCCGCAAUGGGCGAAAGCCUGACGGAGCAUCGCCGCGUGAGUGAUGAAGGUCUUCGGAUCGUAAAACUCUGUUAUUAGGGAAGAACAAAUGUGUAAGUAACUAUGCACGUCUUGACGGUACCUAAUCAGAAAGCCACGGCUAACUACGUG
rnacentral:rRNA from 1 species